UGUCCCAUACCCUACAAGGGAACUGGGGGGUGUUUCUUCAGAUACAGCUAAGCCAUCUCCCAAGAGCAAGAGAGUAACUCAAAUCUCCUCAAAAGGAGAAUAACCAAGAAUCUUGGUUUUUCAUACCUGGGCAAACACAGUAUCAGAAUGUGCCCCAACCUCUAAACUUUCACACAAAGCAGUAGAAGGCAGGGAUGAAAACCUGGUCAAGGGGGAAGGAUGGCUGGAGCUUGGCACUCUUGGUUUUUCUCAGAAUGGAGUUGGAAAUCUGAGGCCUGUCAGGGCUAAGUGCUCUAUUAAGAGAUGUGAGUGCUAAACAAACCCACACAUCAGGAAGACCCCCAACCACCCUUUACUCAGCAGCUGACCUGUGGCUGACAUCAGCCCCUCUUCCUGUAAGGACAUACUUAAAAUGGCUGAUGGUCAACGUUGGAUCUGUGGCCAUUUUUAAGAAAAUCUCCAAACAACCAUCCUCAACCUCAGUUGUAAGCAGUAAGGUUUAAACUUUUUCAAAAUUCAUGAAUACAUGAAUUUUAUACAUGAAACCAGUCCUUUGGCAGGCUUCUUUCAGUUCUAUUUUUGUGUAUCUAUUUUGAUACCUCCUCUCUUGGCAACUCCUCUCUCCUGGUAUAGUAGCUAGAAUACGCCGGGUUAGUAGUGAGCUUUCCAAGUUCCCCCAUUGUAUCAGCCACCCUCCACGGAGACAUCCCUUGCCCUCUCAUGGCACAGGUUUAAUGCUCGCCUUCAUUUGGCCCCACUCAGCAACACAGGCAAAGCUGUUCUGGGUCCGGGAGAUAAGACCCACCCCAAGGGAUGCCUAGUCAAAAAGAAGACAGCCCGUUUAUUCUGAGGCCUGAUGAGGUAUUACCUGUGUUAGUCCUAACAAUAACUUUGAGAUAGAUGUUACCAUCAUCCCCCUUUCACAGGUAAGGAACUCGAGGCCUAGAGAGAUGUAAGUCCCUUGUUCAAGCACACAUGACCAGCCAGAGGCAGAGCAAGGAUCUGAACCUAGGCCUGUAGCAAGCUGGUCUUGCCCAGGCCCUACUUGGGUAGAAAAGGGACCAGGAGGAGCACAGAGUGAAUGGACUCCAGAACAGUCCUCUCUCACACCAGCCAGAGCCCACCCCACUCACUGAAGGCCUGGGCACUCCAGACCCUGGGGUCACUGCUGCAGGAGAGCCCCAGGCAGGGUGUCACCUGCCAUCUGUCCGGAUGACUUGCCCAGGGUCCCAGCCUCCCCGGGAGGCUGCACGGGCAGCUUUGGACAGGGAAACCAAGAACAAUUGCCUGCGGACCCCCUUGAACAAUCCCUUCUUGAAUUCUUCCCGUCACAGGACUGGCUCUGCUGCCCCUGGGACAGAAGGGCCCUCUCCCCUGCCAACUCUAGAAACAGUCUGCUUGAUCAAGGCCUGAGACCCAGGCUGAGGCUGGGCUGCAGCGUGAGAGGUCCUGCAGUCUCUCUUAAGCUACCGUUUAUCGAGCUGUUCACACGUGCUGGGUGGGACCUGUGCUGCGGGCCUUCCAUCACAGUACCAGGCAGGCCUCACAACCCUGUGGUACACCUGUUGGUACCCGUCCCCUCCCUGCUUCCCCUUCUCCCAGCCCUUCCCUCCUGACAGAACCUCCAAACCUUCGGCAGCUUAGUCAGGGAAACACAAAUGUCCCAGGGUUGCUUCCCCAUCACCUUUCUCCUUUCGUUUGGUCAAGUUCAUUUAGCCAGGGCUCAUUUCACAUGACCUAUUCCGAAACCUGGGACAAUAGGGACUUCGAGCUUAUUACUCCCAGACAAUGCUUACAGAGGUUAGAAAUAAUCAGUCUGCCUACAGGACAGAGGACUUCAACCAGAGGGCUGCAUCAAGCUUGAUGGGGUGGGUAGUGCUGUACAUACCUUAGAAACCCGAGUCAGUUAUUUCCUCGAGCGCCAACUCUUCCAAAGGCCUUAUGACUUUUUCCUUCCUGUUAGCUGAGGACAGAACCCCUGCCCUCAAACUGUUGAGAAGAUAGGGGGUGGAAGAGUGCAUGUCGGGGAGGGUAGGUCUAGAGGUAGGAGUGACUUGUGGUUUUCCUUGCUUUUCAGUCACCCAAAUCAGGGGUGACUGGCCCCAGAGAAAGCUCUGAGGAAGGCCUUACAGUUCCUCAUAGCACCUGCUCUGGGGCCCAGAAAUGGCAUAUUUUACAGCUGUAUCUUCCUAGAUGCCAUCCCUACCUAUAGGGUCUGAGCUACUGCCCGCCCCCCCAGAGGGUGCCUGCUGCACUGAGCUGCAUGGCCUUGUCUACCCCAGGGUACCCCUUCUCCCUCGGGGCCUCACGACACCUCACUGCUACUCUGCCAUGCGUCCCCAUCCCUGCCAUCCAAAGGGUGAAUCUGCCUAAGAGCUCCUACACUGCCCUGGCUGGCCAGCUAGUAUGUAGCCUGAGUCCUGGGCAUGACACCCUCCCUGGGUACUUAAAGCAUCGCUAGCAGUACUGGUUACCCAGCAGGAGCUGGGGCAGAGAUGAUUCCAACACAGGUGUUCCACACCCAGGGCCUUCCAGCAACUGGCCUCUACUGGCAAGCAGGGCAUAAAGGGGGCAGAACCAUGGUUAUAUGAGAUGUUAAACAUUAGGGGAAGCUGGGUGAACAGUAUACAGAAACAGCACUAUCUCUGCAACUCUUCUGUAAGUCUAAAAUUAUUUCAAAAUACAAAGUUUUAAAAAAGGGGAGGGAUCAAAAGAACACUGGGUAGGGUGGGAGCAGGCAGUGCCUUUCCAGGCAGGCAGUGCCCAGGUCAGGGGAGAGGUGCUGGUGCCUGCAGGGGCUGCUCUGCUCGAGUUCCUUCUUGGAGAUCAAGUGCCCCCGUGUGGCCAGCCUGGGGACAGGGGCUGGGCUCUAGCUCCUCCUGAGGGAUGCAGGCAGGGCCUUACAGAUUGGCUUCCAUAUACAUCAGCCAAAAGGCUAACCCUGCUAUUCACUGCCUAGUGUCUCAGUAGCCAAGACCACCCUGUUCAGCACCAGGAGCCUGUGCUCUGGCCCCAGGCAAGAAGGGACUGUAGUCUCAGAAAACUACCGUUGAGCUGGAAAUCAGAUCCACGCGUCCCUUCACUAGCUUGUCUCUCUUGCCCCCAGACAGCCCUUUUGCCACCAACCCUCAAGGUUCUCAGCCCCAGCCCGGGGUGGGGCCUGCAGAGGAGCAGAGCUUUGCCACAUGAAUGCAAGUGCAAGAGAGAGAACGGAGUAUGUGUGUGCUGGUGAAGGGGGUUGGGGGAAUAUGCAGGGAGAGGUGUAUGAGCAUACAGGUGUGACCCAGAGGCCCAGACUAAGGCCCGGGUAAGCUUGGGUCUUGGGAGGAGACCUCCAACCCCCUUGGUAGAGGCCCCCACACAUCUUCCUGCCUCUGUGCUGGAAGCAGAGAAGAUAGAUGAAAGAUGCUUGGAGGCAUGCAGCCCCCUGUGCCCACAUGCCUGCCCACCAAGCCCUGAGGUCUGCUCCUGGGUCACCAGCCUGCCCUCCAGGACCACCAGACACUACCCAGAAGUCUCAAGUUCUAGGACUACCAUAUUUCACAACCCCAAGGGUGCCAUUCACAUGGGCUACUCAGAAACCUGGUAGGCAGGCAACAGGCAAGUGGGGCUCCAGGCCACACAGGGGCCAAGGGCAGAGAUGGCCUGCAAGAAAUGUGAGCAGAGGCCUUCUCAGCUGAAGGCUCCAGUUUCUCGGUCAGCCCCAUCCUGGAAUAUGAAACCUUUGCUUGCUCAGCUCAGACAUUUUAAAUGAUUAAUCAAGUGUUCUGAAGUGGUAAUAGAGCCUUAGCAGGCCUUUCCUAGUUGUGUAUGCAUCUGUACACAGUCCCUACCCAGCAGAGCUAAUAAGGAGAAGCAAACACACAAAGACUGAGGCCUCCCUGAGUUCUGGCAUCUUGAACCUUCUUGCUCCAGGAACUAGGAAGCUGCACCUUGGCCUCUUGCGGCCUAGACCAGUGAUGGGCCCCCAGGGCUGCUCCUCAAUUGUGAAGACCACCACAGCCACAGCACCUCCCAAGAAGUGUCCCCAAUGGAGAUGACGGCUUUGCCAGAAGCAGGAGGCCUGUGGUCUGUGCUCAGCUGCCCUCACCCCACCUUCAACACCUAGACCAACAGAAGAAGGCCAGCCUUCCAGGAGGUAUCAGAGGAUGCUGGAGCAGCCCUCCUACUGCUCAGACCAAGAGGCAGGAAGGGAGGGAAAAACCUUUAAGCAUUUUAGGACUAAGUAAAAUCUCAAGAUAGCCGUAGGUUGGAUCCUGUCCCUCCCAUGCAGGGGCAGAGAGGAGAGCACACAACUUGCUCAGGAUCCACUUCAGCUUUCCUUGGAGGUGCAUGGGCAGUGGGAUCAUUUAUUAUUCAGCACAAGGGGGCUGCACUGGUGAGAAAAGAUGUCCUAAUGGCAGUGCCACUGUGCCACCUGCUCUCAAGCCCAUGAGCACCAGUUACAGAUUAUUAAAAGUGAAAGGAGCGUCCUUCUCCUCCCACCCUCCCACUUCCCAAAUGGAGAUGCUGCAGAAGGCAAGGAGGUUGCUGAGGAGCCCGACCAGGGCGUGUGUGAGAUAAGGGACAAGUGCACGUCACUUUCCUCGUGUGGAACUCAAUACAGUGCUGGAAGCUGACAGUGGAAGCUGCAUGUGCAAGAGGCUGGAGAUCGAGAAGUGUUUGGUAGUUUCCAGUGAAGACCAUGCUGUUCUACAAGCGGGAGAGUGGAACUCACCCCACUUAAUUAAAAGAAAAUAAGGGCUUCCCCUGCCCCCCCACUAUAACCAACAAAAUAAGAGGUCAAACCAGGGCCCACAUCCCUGCUACCAACUUAGGAGUCAAGUAGACCCAGCUGAGACCCUGGCUCUGUUCUUCUGUAGACGGGUGAAUUGAGAGCUAAAGAACCGAGGUGCCAGCCGUUCCAGUGCAGCGUCCACAUUUGUGUUUGCUGGCCCAGCAGCACGGACAAAGCUUGGUCUUGCAAAACACAGCUGCAGCAAUCACCCCAAGCCCAGAAGAGUGUGGAGACCUGCAUAUCCAGAGAAAUGCCACAAGCUGACAGGAGGGCUGAACAGCUUGGGGGUAGGGGGCUCUAUCCAGAUGAACUUAGAAAAUGGAAGACAGAUAAUUUUAGUUUUUUGUAAAUCUGAGGAGAUAACCAAGAGCUUCUCAUGCUGGCGAGAAAAGAAAGCCACCAAAAGGAAUCUCAAAUGGUUUACUAGGGUGACAGGCCCAUUUCUGUUGCACAAGACUUUAGUGAGUAAUCUCACAUACCCUGAGGGGAAGAGACACCUUAGGAUAGCCUGUGCUUCUCGCUUAGUUUGGAGAGUAGAAAGCAGUUUUUCUUUUAUCCUAAAGUCGGCCAAGAGAUGAGGGAAGGGACUGAAGGGCAAUAAUGAGGACCACACAAGAUGAGAACACAGGCAACAGGCGAUUGUGUCCUCAGCACCCCACCGUUCUGCUAGAAGUCUGUCUGUACCACAGCCUCAGACAGGCCAGAGGAACCACAGGUGAGCUAGGGAGGAUGCCACUGUAAAGAUCAAAGGGGAGAGAGGGGCCAACAAGCAUGAGAUGCGCGGAUGUCAUGGGUGACAUUACUACAGCAGAAGGAAGGAAGCAAUUCAUUAUAUCAAGAAUAUAUUUCAAAUUCAGUUUUUGGAGAAAUAAAUAUGAGGGGGGCUGCUGUGCCAAGCAGAAGAAAUUAAGGAAAAUCUAGAGAAACAUCUGAUCAUGCCCAGUACACAACAGCUCUGUGAGCCUGUGGCAGGGUGUAAAGACCUUGAGGGCAGGGAGAAUCCUUUAAUGGCUGGCCGCUGCACACAGUCUUGCUCACGACCCACUCAGAAGUGAGCCACACAGGGACCAAGACUGUGAAUGAUGAUGGCUGACCUACCCCAGAGCAUGACCUGGCCCACAAGCCCCUCAACAUAGUUGUCAUCUCUUCAUGGCUGUUCCUACCCAAUUUGAUGUAAACCACACCUCAUUUAUUGCCAAACUUCAAAAGAAACCAAUGUGACCAAUCAAAAGCUGGGGCUCAACUCUGGAAUCCUCACAGCACAGCAGGCGAAGGAGCAGGCUGCCUUGUGUCACUAAAGGCACAUGAGAGUGAGCAGGCAAUCCUACUUAAAUACCCGUCAGGCUCCCUAACGAUCUGCAGGUUCAAUACAAUUCUAAUCAAAACCCCAGCCGUAUUUUUCGGAGAUAAACCGUUUCUAAAAUUUAUGGAAAAGUAAGAGAACUAAAAUAAUUUUGAAAAAAUAAAAUUGGAGGAAUCACA